rnacentral:rRNA from 1 species
UACAGAGACCCCAAGCGUUAUCCGGAAUCAUUGGGCGUAAAGGGUGUGUAGGUGGUGCGGUUAGUCUUCUGUCAAAAACUUGGGCUCAACCCAAGCCUUGCAGGGGAAACGGCCGCACUCGAGGAUGCGAGAGGUGAAUGGAACUCAUGGAGUAGGGGUAAUAUCCGUUGAUAUCAUGGGGAACACCAAAUGCGAAGGCAAUUCACUGGCGCAUUCCUGACACUGAGACACGAAAGCGUGGGUAGCGAACGGG